AACUUUUGGCAAUGGAUCACUUGGCUCUCCCAUCGAUGAAGAACGCAGCGAAAUGCGAUAAGUAAUGUGAAUUGCAGAUUUCCAGUGAAUCAUCGAAUCUUUGAACGCAUCUUGCGCUCCUUGGUAUUCCGAGGAGCAUGCCUGUUUGAGUGUCAUUGAAUUCUCAACCAUUUUUCUCUUUCAAGGGGAAUGAAUGGCUUGGAGUUGGGGGUUGCUGGCACCGUCAGCUCUCCUUAAAUGCAUUAGCAAUCUAGGUUGGCUAGUCUGUGACGUGCACGGCCUCGGACGUGAUAAUGAUCGGUCCUGGCUGGAGCGUCUUUCCUUAGACUAGUGCACAUAGAUCGCUUCUAAUCAACUCGUCUAUCGAGCUUAGCUACUAG
rnacentral:misc_RNA from 1 species